CGGAGCCCAAAAUAUUAUAAAACCAAAACCAGAACACAUUGUCAUUUUUGUCAGAAAUAACGGAUGAAAGAAGACGCUCGGUUGUUGAGUUCAUAGUUUUCAGAAAAUCUUAGCGACGU
ensembl:snRNA C35D6.6 ncRNA